ACAUCUGACAGCAGGCUCUCGCAAUAUCCUGUCAGUCAUUGCAAACUGUUAACCAUAAUGAUCAUUUCACCUAGCCAUCUUCAUCAAUCUAGGGCCAAUCAUCUCACAGCGAGAAGGAGAGAGAGAGAGAAUUCAGAGAAAGCAGGACGAGCGAUGCUGAGUGACAUCUCAGCAUGGAAAAUAUGAGCCGAUCACUUUCUUUCCCUCACUGGCACCGGCGCGAUGGCUGCACAAACAUAAAAUAGCAGCAGCAGUGAAGAAUUCUCCCGAUUCCUCUGAUGCUGGGGGGCACGCCGGCUUCCCGAUCCUCUUGUUAAUGUAUCUGACACUGGGAGGAGGACUGGAAUAUUGGAGAAGCCCUAGAUGAGGAUCCUCUUAGGAGCUCGAAAGCUGCCAGCUCGAGCCAGACUCAAGAUUCUGAUUAAAAUGCAAUGUAGAAACGUACUUCAUGUUAUUCUUAGUCCAGUCACUCCUCUCAGUUCAUUUCGCUGAUUUCAGGUCUGGCAUGAACCGAAUAAAGUGUCGUUUUCACAUUGAAAUUGA